ensembl:rRNA 5S_rRNA 5S ribosomal RNA
CUCUAUGUCCAUACCACCCUGAACAUGCCGGAUCUUGUCUGAUCUCAGAAGCUAAGCAGGGUCGGGACUGGUUAGUACUUGGAUGGGAGAAAUUGAACUCACUUGAUAAUUUGGUGGCUAUUUAGU